GUGUCAGCAGCCGCGGUAAUACGGAGGGUGCAAGCGUUGUUCGGAAUUACUGGGCUUAAAGCGCGUGUAGGCGGGACGCCAAGUGUCGUGUGAAAGCCCCGAGCUCAACUCGGGAAUCGCGUGGCAAACUGGCGCUCUUGAGGCAAGUAGAGGUGACUGGAACGACCGGUGGAGCGGUGAAAUGCGUAGAUAUCGGUUGGAACGCCGGAGGCGAAAGCGGGUCACUGGGCUUGUCCUGACGCUAAGACGCGAAAGCGUGGGGAGCAAACAGGAUUAGAUACCCUAGUAGUCC
rnacentral:rRNA from 1 species